rnacentral:rRNA from 1 species
AGGGGUUGACAGGGAUGAUUCGGAAGUGUAGGAUCAAACGGUUGACUCUUUCGGGGAGAAAAAAGCCCUGAAGAGAAAGACGCCCUGUGGAAACGCAGGGAGAGCGUCUCGGAUCAUUGACAACUAAAUAGGAGCAGCAACGUCCAAUUAAAGGGCCCUGAUCACGAAACACAGUAAUAAAAUGAAUCUGGAGAGUUUGAUCCUGGCUCAGAACGAACGCUGGCGGCGUGCCUAACACAUGCAAGUCCAACGUGAAAGGGGAGCAAUCCCCCGGUAGGGUGGCAAACGGGUGAGUAAUACAUGGGUGAUCUACCUUAGGGAUGGGGAUAUCCUUCCGAAAGGAGGGGCAAUACCGAAUAUUGUCCGGAGCCGUGAAGGGUUCCGGGGAAAGGGAGGCCUCUGAUACAAGCUUUCGCCUUAAGAUGAGCCC